rnacentral:rRNA from 1 species
CAGCAGCCGCGUUAAUACAGAGGGUGCGAGCGUUAAUCGGAUUUACUGGGCGUAAAGCGUGCGUAGGCGGCUUCUUAAGUCGGAUGUGAAAUCCCUGAGCUUAACUUAGGAAUUGCAUUCGAUACUGGGAAGCUAGAGUAUGGGAGAGGAUGGUAGAAUUCCAGGUGUAGCGGUGAAAUGCGUAGAGAUCUGGAGGAAUACCGAUGGCGAAGGCAGCCAUCUGGCCUAAUACUGACGCUGAGGUACGAAAGCAUGGGGAGCAAACAGGAUUAGAUACCCCAGUAGUCCCUGUCUCUUAUAC